rnacentral:misc_RNA from 1 species
AUGAGUUUUUACAACUCCCAACCCUAUGUGAACUUACCUUUGUUGCCUCGGCGGCGCCUAUCCAGGUACCGCCGAUGGAUCUCCAAACUCUUGUUAUUUUUAUGUUAUCUGAGCGUCUUAUUUUAAUAAGUCA